AUUUUUUCCUACCAGUGGAGCGUGCGACAAAUCAUCCGAUAGGAGUACACUUAACUGUGAGCGCCGGUGCUCUCAGCUGACUUCGGGUCAGACCUCGGAAUGAAAUCCCGUUGGACUUCACUACUUCGAAAGAUUGCAGGAAUCUAUUUAAAGAACAACAAGGCUAAAUGCGCUACUAUAGCCAACGUCGAAUCUUACCAAGCGAGCUGCUUUCUUUGUAAGUCAACAUUCCAAUUUAGAUUGAAAGCAGCUUGUUGGUGCUGGAAAUAAAGAAGCCAUCAUACCUAUAAAGUUGAGAUGUUAAGCAACGGGCAAGCAAGCGGCACAAUGGCAAAAUCACGAAUAAAUAUGGAGCCCCUGCAGCCAGCAUUAGGGAAUAUAAACCAGGGUAUGUCAAUGGGACAAAGUGCUUCCGUGCAUGGAACUACUAAGACCAGUUUGCUAUAUACUCGUAUUAAGCGAUAUCUUUUGGAAUCGAGAACUGUUUUACUAUUGUAUUAUUUAUAUGUUAUAGAUUAUUUUCGACCUGCGAUAUUUUUUUUUUGAGAAAUUGCGCACAUCGGACAUACGAACUUGCAGAACGUCGCAGUUGAAAGCUUGUAGGUGAUAGAUUUUUAUAUUUUUAUAUGUAAUUUGGGCUAAAUCUUCCCACUUUCUUUUUUGCUCAGACAGAAAAAUUGGGGAUUCAGCAGUUCCUACAUAUUGCUACACGUAUUACCGCCAGCACCAUGAUUAUGUCUACCAGAUCAUCUGGAGAACGGAAUGCAGACUGUAAUGUAAAUAACUGUGGAUUUCGAUUAUGUUUUGGCAUAGGCCUAGAGCCUUUUUUCUGAAUUGCUUGGGGUUAACUUGGCUCAAAUUGGCCUUAGGAUCAAGCCUAUUCAGAAUCAAAUUACGUUCUGUCUUUAUCCUACCAGUGACUUUGGGCCAGUCUUAUAAUUACUUUAUUUAGAUGGCGAUCUUUUUACAGUGAUGUAAUAUGGGCAGAGUGUGUAGCAAGGACGAAAUUGGAUUAAGGUUUGUUACACACAUUGCCGAAACUAAUUAAACAACUAACAGAAGAGACAUCAUACAGGGUUUCAAUGUCUUUCCAAUUCGCUUACUUUUCAUUUUUUUGCUUUUAUGCAUAUAGCGUGAAUCUGGAGAGAAGCUGAAAUAGAAUGCAUUAUUCAUUUGUUGUUUACGAACCCUGCCUAAGUGAUCAAGAUCUCUAGGCUAUCGAUCACGAAUAUCAUUAAGAAAGCAGGCACGCCGGAACCUCUGUUAGUCAAGGUGCUAGGCGGCGUCGGACUGAAAGCUACAGAAGACGCGAGCAAGGUGUUUAAAAAUUAAGAAGUAACGUUGUACAUAAAGCCAAGCUUAGGAAAAUUUGACCCGAGGGACUAAGGACCCAAAGAGCGCAAGAAGCGCGGACGUUGGACAGAGACGUGUAAGGCCCCUUGGAGGGAUUCCGGCGAAGAGAACGAAACCUCGACAAUGAUGAGAGAAUGAACAAAAUUGUACCGCUUAAGAUCGUACUGAUGUGAAGCAGUGCUCAAGCGCUUUGACUUGCAAGUGAAGUGCAGGGGCAUAUGUCAUGGAUCAAAUAUUAAAGCGCGGGCCGAAAAAUAAAAUGGCCAGCUUUUCACCUCUACAAUAAAAAUUCUACACAUGUCUUUCUCUGUCGGAAAAAUGUCUGACGAUUCGACCUCGUUGAUCGUUCGAUGGUCGCCGAAGGUUAGUACACUGCCUUAAACGUAAGGUUUUUUUUAACUUGCCAAUUUUUAGGCGCAAAGUGUCUCUACUGUUUUUGUAAGGUUUUUGAAGAAUUUUUGUAGCAUUUAGGACCGAAAUAAAGUUGAUUUUGUGCGCAUGUAGAAGGAAUUCCACGUAGCCCUCCCACACGCUCUUUUCCACACCUUAAUGCAGUUAUUGAAGCCAGCAUAAAGAGUUGCGACGCGGGUGUAGAAUAGGUGUAAUAGAAUUGCUUGACACAGUUUUCUUUAGUUUAUUAUAUACGAAUCAAUGUUGCACUUAAUUUUCAUAAAUAUUCAUUCUAUGACAAUUUUUCGAUGUAAUAAAUAUAAGUGGAAAGUAUGUGACGUGUGUGGUCUUUCUCUACGCUUUUUUUGUGUUUGUGUACCGGGGGGUGUGCUGUAAGCCACCACACACACACGCAUCCAUCAUAUAACAGAUGACAAUUUAAGAGAAUGUAUGUAUAAAAAAUCAGUUGAAGUUUUAUGUGAACAGCUACGUCCAUCCCAUAGGAAAUCAAAUAGCGUUGAAUUCUACGAAACAGAUUGUGAUAACCGUUCCGGCGGUAGUGAGCUAGGUCAAUCGUUCGGUGAUUGAAUUAAGUAACUACUUACGAAAUUAUGGCACUUUUCACGAAUUUGGUUGUUAUGUGGAUUCAACCCCAGGACUUAAUCAAUAGAGUGAUUUUACUUAACAAUAUAGUUGGAUUAGAAAAAAUAGUAUCUAUGCUGGACUGUAAUUCGACCAGGUUUGGUUGCCAAUAGCAAAACCUUGCUUUGAAGGGAACUUUGACAGACAUACAAGAAUAUCAAAUAAUUGUCUCACACUUUGUCAUAAUAACUAUGCUAUAUCGAUAAUUAACAUUUGGUCAAUAGAACACGUAAAUUAAUAACGAGAUAUCGAUAGCCAAGGAAACCGGAAUGGAAUUCUUUCAGUCCAACGAAGAACUUCAAUGAACUCUAAAACGUUCCAUAUUUGAAAUAUGGAACAUUUCAUAAUCUUUACGAAAAAAAACAAAAAGAAUAUGACAUGAAACGAGGAUUCGUGAAGGAUGGCCGGUAAAUAUUGCAAAUAUAUUUUAAAGUAAGUUGUAAAAAAUAAUAAAAGUACAUACCAUCAACAGGACAAUCAAUGUAAAAAUGAAAAAGUUAAUGCAUACUUGGCUCAGUUUUAUGGAUGCAGUCAUAGAGCGCGGCUGGCGUUCAACGGGUUGUCAACCGCUUAGAGUUGAAAUUUGGCGAAAUCGACAAGAACUUCUAUAGUAGCGAAUCGAAACGGUAAAGCGGUUACAAGUGUUAUACCGCGUAUACUUACUGUCUCCUAUCGUAAUUUGACCAGUUGGAAAUAUUUAACUUAAGCUUGACGUGUUACAUAGAUAUUGAAAAUGUAUCGCAUGCAUAUUAAAAGGGUCAUUAAUAUUAUGGAUAAAGUUACAUAAAUAAAUGAUUUAAAUAUCGUUUCUAUGAGUUUUGCAAUCGUAGACAAUAUUGCCUUUAUGUUUCGAGUUUUAAGUCCGGUAUCGCCGUUAGGCUUCUCAUCUCAUGACCGGCUCCCAGCACGAAAGGAAGCCUGUCUAUGCUCGAGCUCGAGCCUAGACCAU
rnacentral:lncRNA from 11 species